rnacentral:rRNA from 1 species
GACGAACGCUGGCGGCGUGCUUAAUACAUGCAAGUUGAGCGGAGCUUUGAGGAAGCCUGCUUCUUCAAAGUCGAGCAGCGGACGGGUGAGUAACGCGUGGAUAACCUGCCCUUUAGCCUGGGAUAACAGUUCGAAAGGACUGCUAACACCGGAUAAGCUCCCAGCCUGGCAUCAGGCAGAGAGAAAAGUUUACACUAAAGGAUGGAUCCGCGUCCCAUUAGCUAGUUGGUGAGGUAACGGCCCACCAAGGCGACGAUGGGUAGCCGACCUGAGAGGGUGACCGGCCACACUGGGACUGGGACACGGCCCAGACUCCUACGGGAGGCAGCAGUAGGGAAUUUUCCGCAAUGGGCGCAAGCCUGACGGAGCAACGCCGCGUGAGGGAUGAAGGUUUUCGGAUCGUAAACCUCUGUCUUCAGGGACGAUAAUGACGGUACCUGAGGAGGAAGCCACGGCUAACUACGUGCCAGCCGCCGCAGUAAGAC